rnacentral:rRNA from 1 species
UACGGAGGAUGCAAGCGUUAUCCGGAUUUAUUGGGUUUAAAGGGUGCGUAGGCGGCUAAGUAAGUCAGGGGUGAAAGCCUGCAGCUUAACUGUAGAAUUGCCAUUGAUACUGUUUAUCUUGAGUACAGCUGAGGUGGGCGGAAUAUGACAUGUAGCGGUGAAAUGCUUAGAUAUGUCAUAGAACACCGAUUGCGAAGGCAGCGCACUAAACUGGCACUGACGCUGAGGCACGAAAGCGUGGGGAGCAAACAGG